rnacentral:tRNA from 1 species
UCCCUUGUGGCUCAGCUGGUAAAGAAUCUGCCUGCAAUGCAGAAGACCUGGGUUCAAUCCCUGGAUUGGGAA